GAGCCAAAGGGAACUGAAAGAUAAUAGUUGUAGAUCAUAUAGGGUGUAGGGAUCCAAAUACAGCUAAAUUGUUGCAGCUUAAAAAAUGCAGACCCAACUACACAUGCACGCUAAACUGUUGCAGAAACAUGAAAUUGCUCAUCUCCAGGAACUGUAGGAAUAUUCAAGGCCUAAAAUUUACAAACCCAUGACAAAUCGAAGAGAAAUUCUUCACAAAAACUGAGAAACUAGGGCAUAAAAAGAAAGAGAUAA
rnacentral:misc_RNA from 1 species